GCCGGCAGCUGAGCGUUAGCACUCCAUGUGUGUCUUUCCUUAUUGAUUCUGAGAAUAAAAGAAGAACCCUAUAAAGGAUUGAUGACUGCUUAUUCUCAUUCUAAUCAGAUGAGCCCAUGAUGGUGAUGACUUAAAACUCUGAGCCUUUCUUCCUUCAUAACACCAGGACUCUGUUGGAAAUGAGAUUUUUUACCUGGAUAAAUAAACGACUAAAACCAAAACUUCCUGUGCUGUGAAGUUCUGCAUUUAUGUGUUUUCAACGAGGAUGUGGUUAAAAGUGCUGUCUUUGUUUUUUUGUCAGUAGCCUGUAAAAAAAACAUGUAUGUAUUAAGUGUAUGUGAUGUAACAGCUGACCUUUAGUCUGAGAGGCGGACCAAAAGAACAGCCCGGCAGAAAAAAACAUCAUCGAGAUGCACAAAAUAAAUAAAGGAGCGUUCAAAUGAUUCAUAAAUGCAGCUGAAGUGUGCGAGCAUGACACAAACAGAUGUUUGCGUGCACGCAGUGACUGAUGGGACAACAAGUUCAACUGGAGCGCCUCCUGCUGGCCUCAACAGCCCCUGCCCGUGUACAGGUAGGACUGGGGCCAGCCUCAGGGUGGCGCUACAGGGCUUUGAAAUGAGGCCUGGCUGAGGAGUCGUCUUUGUAUUCAAGCCAUAUGAACAGCUGAGCCCCCCUCCCCUUACUGUACACAUGCAUUUAUGAAUGCUUGAUAUUCUGCUGUGUCAGCUGUUGUUGGAUGAUCAGACUGUGGUUUAAUUUUAGGUCGAUUUUAUUGUAAUUUCAUGGAACUCUGCUAAGUGUAAAGAUUAGAUGAAACUUUAUUAAUCCCUCAGGUGCGUUCCUCUGGGGGUAGGAGAGUAGGGAGAGGGCUCUGUAGUGAAGGUGAGGGUGGGGGGGUUGUGUGCCAGUUAAACCUGUUGAAGAAGUUGUUGAGCUCGUUUGCCUUCUCCACAGUCCCCCCCCCCCCACUGUGCUGUUCUUGGUGUUGUGGCCUGUGAUGGUUUUCACACCAUUCCAGACCUCCCUCAUAUUGUUCCUCUCCAACAUCUACUCCUCCUUCCUCCUGUAGGUGUCUUUUGCUUCCCUCAGGCAGCGUUUCACCUCCCGCUAUGCUGCUUUCAUCUCCUCUUUCACUUUGCUUCUGAAGGCCUUCUUCUUCGGCUACGUCCACACUAAUGCGUUUUCGUUUGAAGACGCAUCGUUUUCUCUCCGGUUUGGCCUCCCGUCCACACUGAGACGGCGUUUUCCUCAAGGAAAAACGCAGCAUUUUGAAACCGCUCUCGAAAACGCAGCUGUCCCGUCGCAGUGUGGACGCUCGAAAACACAGACGUUCUAAAACGAUGACGCAUUUUAGUCAUGUGAUGCAGUCAUGUGACCAAUUAAACAAAGAUAGUGGAGGUCAUUAUACAGCAGUUGUUUUGAUUGCUCUCAACUUUGACAGCCCUAAAAAAGAUUAAUAUCAGUUUGUACAUGCUGCAGACAGCUUUUCUUCAAAUUCUUUAAUUCUCACUCGUUUUUGCGCAUGCGCAGGACUGAAAUGUCAGCGUUUUCAUCCGUUUCAAUGUGGAUGCACAACUCUGUAAAAACGACUGAAAAUGCUAGUGUGGAUGCAGAGCGUUUUCAGACGAAAACGCCGUUUUCAAAUCUAUCCGGGCUAGUGUGGACGUAGCCUUCAUCUCGAGGACAGCUUUGACUUCCUGCGUUACCAACAGUUUGUUAUUAGAGUAACACCGCACCGUCUUAGCAGGGGCAACCACGUCCACACAAAAGUUGAGAUAGUCUGUCAGACAGUGUGUCACCCCCUGUAUGUCCUCGCCAUGUGGGCUCAGAAGCACAUCCCAGUCUGUGGUGUCAUAGCAGUCUCUCAGAGCUUUCUCCUUUUCUGGGGUCCAUCUCCUAAUGGAGCGUGUUGUCGCAGGCUGCCUUUGGACGAGGGGUGUGUACUGUGGCUGUAAGUAGACCAGGUUGUGGUCUGACUUCGCUAGUGGGGGGAGGGGGGUGGCUCUGUAUGCAUCUCUCCUAUUAGCAUACAGUAGGCAAGGCUCUGGAGUGCGACUAAUUUUGUCGCAAAUGCGACCAAAUUUUUCAAUGGUGAGACUAAAAAAAAUCCUUGGUCACACCACUGCAACCAGCUGUUCCAGUAAGAAAAAGAAAAAGAAAAGAAAAAAGUCUCUGCAACUCUGAAAGUCUCCGUGUGGUCAACAACAGACACACAUUAUGCCCCUAUCAUGGUCUAAGCUAUGGAGUUAAAUCAGGGCCAUAAUGUUUGUUUAGUUAAAAAAAAAUUUGAAAUCGAAAAUAUGUAAACUGAAAGCAAAAGUCACAUUUUUAGAGUGAACUUUGAAAAAGAAAGAGUUGGAUUUAAAAUUUUCAGAUUCAGAUCUUUUAAAUUAAUGUACAAAAAAACAAUUCUUCAGGUUCGGAUUUUUCUCUCAGCUUCAAAUUUUUUUUUUUCACUUUCAAAAAAAAAUUCUUCAGGUUCGGAUUUUUCUCUCAGCUUCAAUUUUUUUUUUUCACUUUCAGAUCUCUAUUUUUCAGUUUCAGACUUUUGGCCCUGUUUUGGCGUGGUGGGCGUGGCUACACACAGAGGGGCGGGGAAUCAUGAGUGACAGCAGACCGCUGCAGGCUCAAGAUGGUCCAUUUUUCAUGUUGCCUUCAGGAAACCUGGGAAUGAACAUAAUUUAUCAAACACCUCCUGCAUUAUAUUAUUUGAUAAUGUUUAGAAAACAUGUCAUGCAUAACUGCUAAAACUCAGUUACUAAAGCUCUUUCAAGCAGUAAUGUGUACAAAUUACGCCGUAACUGAUCAAUUAUGAGACGUUUUCCCAGACACUACGUGAGAAGUGGUCAUUUCCCAUGCUCUCAAAGUAGCGCGCAUUGUAUCGGCUGGGGGCUGCUGUUAACUUGUCCCUCAGUGAACGAUGGCGUCGUCUUCCAACAACACUGCUGGCGCGAACAAUCAGAAAUGGUCGCCGGAAUCGAGACUCGUUUCUUUGAAGGACCACCACACCAAAAAAGUCCACGCUAUUCCCUUACUGACUUUGACAGUGGACUCUUCAGGCAUGUUUAUUUUAAAGAAAGGGAAAACUGUCAUGUUUUAUACUAUAAGCAAUACACUCAUGCUGUUUGUAUAAGUAGGACUGUUGGUGAGAUUCUGGCCGUCGGUUUGGCACAAGGAGGUU